GAUGAACGCUGGCGGCGUGCCUAACACAUGCAAGUCGAACGGACAGGUCCUGCUUUUGUGCCGUGCUCGAGUGGCGAACGGGUGAGUAACACGUGUGUAACCUGCCCUUGACUUUGGGAUAACUUCUGGAAACUGGGGCUAAUACCGGAUAGGAGCUCCUGCUGCAUGGUGUGCAUUGGAAAGUUUCGGCGGUUCUGGAUGUUCUCGCGGCAUAUCCGCUUCUUUGUGAGGUAGUGGCUUACCACGGCUUUGACGGGUAGCCGGCCUGGGAGGGUGACCGGCCACAUUGGGACUGAGAUACGGCCCAGACGCCAACGGGAGGCAGCAGUGGAGAAUAUUGCAGAAUAGGCGGAAGCCUGAUGCAACGACGUCGGGUGCGGGAUGACGGCUUUCGGGGUGAAAACAGCUUUGUCCGUAGACGAAGCGGUAGUGACGGUAAUGAAUAAGAAAGCACCGGCUAACUACGUG
rnacentral:rRNA from 1 species